rnacentral:lncRNA from 1 species
CAGAAAUCUUUUCCAGCUCAAGAAACUGGAAGUAGAAUAUGACUUAAAAACCCAGUCCAGCUCCAACAAACUCACCGGGUGAUCACAAUUCAGAGUUCAAACUACAGCAAACCAUGAGGCGAGCAAAGAACGCUUUUCUAACUAUAUUUCUCAUAUCUCCAUGUAAUGAUCAAAAGAUGGAGUCGACUCUAUAUAUAGUAACCACCUAUAAAUCUAAAACAAUAACAAGUAAACAUUGUGGAGGAGAUAUAUUUUAUCAAAUGGAACUUACUUAUCAAGUAGUACAUACUACAUAGCGUUUGGUUCUAUACAGACAAGAAAGAAUUGACCUACUCUCUUUAACUCUUCAUUACCAUCCUAUUAUCCCAAACCAGAAUCAAUCUAAGACGCCUCAUUAACAGAAAAGUACCUCCACGUUCUAUUUUAAGAAAAUAUGCAAAUGUUUUAGCAAUUAAGUAAAUGUAGAUCAACUUAUUCUUUGUCCAUAAGCUUAUAUUCGUAGCUUAGGAGCUUCUCUGGAGUCCUGCGGAAACACUUCGGCAUCGCCUUUUCUUCGAAAUGCCCUGCAUUAUUGUUAUUAGUGUCACCAAAACUUCCGCAUGAAACAUUAAAUUUAGAAAGAGCAUGAGCACUGAGAAAACUACUUAAUUAGUGAAAAAUAGGAAUUGAAUGACAUGGUUAUGCUUCUUAUACUGUGCAUCACUAAUAAAUAUCCAAUUUUUGACCAUUGUAGUAGGAUUAAUCAAAAUCAUAUCAAACAACUAAUGAAGAGACAAAUUAGAAGAAGACAAGCACGUUUGGUGUGGAUUAAAA